AAGUCGUAACAAGGUUUCCGUAGGUGAACCUGCGGAAGGAUCAUUACCGAAGUCAAGGCCCCUUCGGGGGCUAAACUUCCACCCUUUGUUUACCUUACCAUUGUUGCUUUGGCGGGCCGCCUUAGGCCACCGGCUCUUGAGCUGGUGCGUGCCCGCCAGAGACCCCCAAACCCAAACCAUAUUUAGUGUCGUCUGAAAACAAGUUUAAAUUAUUUAAAACUUUCAACAACGGAUCUCUUGGCUCUG
rnacentral:misc_RNA from 1 species